rnacentral:rRNA from 1 species
AAACCAACCGGGAUUCCCUUAGUAACGGCGAGUGAAGCGGCAAAAGCUAAAAUUUGAAAUGGGGUACCUUCGGUGCCGGAGUUGUAAUUUGGAGAGGGCAACUUUGGGGCCGUUCGGCGUUUAUCUUCCUCGAACAGCACGUCAUAGAGGAGGAGAAUCCC